GAUGAACGCUGGCGAGAUGCUUUACACAUGCAAGUCGUACGAAGUUUUAACUUAAGUGGCGGACGGGUGAGUAACACGUAAGAAUUUACCUUUAGGAGGGGAUAACAACUGGAAACGGUUGCUAAUACCCCAUAUGCUUUCGAGUGAAAUGGAUUUUUCCGCCUAGAGAGAAGCUUGCGGCUGAUUAGCUUGUUGGUGAGGUAAUGGCUCACCAAGGCGACGAUCAGUAUCUGGUUUGAGAGGACGAUCAGACACACUGGAACUGAGACACGGUCCAGACUCCUACGGGAGGCAGCAGUGGGGAAUUUUCCGCAAUGGGCGAAAGCCUGACGGAGCAAUCUCGCGUGAGGGAUGACGGCCUAUGGGUUAACCUCUUUUUCAGGGUAGGAAUAAAUGACGUGUACCUGAAGAAUAAGCAUCGGCUAAACUCCGUGCCAGCAGCCGCGGUAA
rnacentral:rRNA from 1 species